GCGGUAACAGGUGUAGCAAUACAUGCUGACGAGCGGCGGACGGGUGAGUAACGCUUGGGAAUCUGCCUGUUAGUGGGGGACAACCCGGGGAAACUCGGGCUAAUACCGCAUACGCACUACGGUGGAAAGCCGGGGACCGCAAGGCCUGGCGCUAACAGAUGAGCCCAAGUCGGAUUAGCUAGUUGGUAGGGUAACGGCCUACCAAGGCGACGAUCCGUAACUGGUCUGAGAGGACGACCAGUCACACCGGAACUGAGACACGGUCCGGACUCCUACGGGAGGCAGCAGUGGGGAAUAUUGGACAAUGGGGGAAACCCUGAUCCAGCGACGCCGCGUGGGUGAAGAAGGCCUGCGGGUUGUAAAGCCCUUUCGGUUGGGAAGAAAAGCUGUGACCUAACACGUCGCGGCCUUGACGUAACCAACUAAAGAAGCACCGGCUAACUCUGUGCCAGCAGCCGCGGUAAUACAGAGGGUGCGAGCGUUAAUCGGAAUUACUGGGCGUAAAGCGCGCGUAGGCGGCUUUGCAAGCCGGAUGUGAAAUCCCCGGGCUUAACCUGGGAACUGCAUUCGGGACUGCAUUGCUAGAGUAUGGGAGAGGGAAGUGGAAUUUCAGGUGUAGCGGUGAAAUGCGUAGAUAUCUGAAGGAACAUCAGUGGCGAAAGCGACUUCCUGGACCAAUACUGACGCUCAUGUGCGAAAGCGUGGGGAGCAAACAGGAUUAGAUACCCUGGUAGUCCACGCCAUAAACGAUGAGAACUGGAUGUCGGGAGGGUCUGCCUCUCGGUGUCGUAGCUAACGCGUU
rnacentral:rRNA from 1 species